AAGCACUGGAGCACGCCGGAAGAAAUGCGCGGUUCAUGGGCUGGCGCGAUGGGUCAUACCCAGUGGAUGCCGGAAGUCUGGCUCAAUGUCGGCUUCGAUUAUGACGGCGAUGGACGCGUGUCCCCGNNNNNNNNGACGACGCGCUCGGCUCCAGCGCGCGCUAUCUCGUCAACCGCGGCAAGUACCGCCGGGGCGAGCAUUGGGGCUACGAGGUGAAGGGUGCAAGCGGCAGCGGCAACA
rnacentral:misc_RNA from 1 species